GUACGAAGGGUGCAAGCGUUACUCGGAAUUACAUGGGCGUAAAGCGUGCGUAGGUGGUUCGUUAAGUCUGUCGUGAAAGCCCCGGGCUCAACCUGGGAAAUGGGCGAUGGAUACUGGCGGGCUAGAGUGCGGUAGAAGGGCAGUGGAAAUUCCCGGUGGUAGCAGUGGAAAUGCGGUAGAGAUCGGGAGGAACACCGAUUGCGA
rnacentral:rRNA from 1 species